rnacentral:rRNA from 1 species
AGAGUUUGAUUAUGGCUCAGGAUGAACGCUAGCUACAGGCUUAACACAUGCAAGUCGAGGGGCAGCAUGACCUAGCAAUAGGUUGAUGGCGACCGGCGCACGGGUGAGUAACACGUAUCCAACCUACCGGUUAUCCCGGGAUAGCCUUUCGAAAGAAAGAUUAAUACCGGAUAGUAUAACGAGAAGGCAUCUUUUUUGUUAUUAAAGAAUUUCGAUAACCGAUGGGGAUGCGUUCCAUUAGUUUGUUGGCGGGGUAACGGCCCACCAAGACAUCGAUGGAUAGGGGUUCUGAGAGGAAGGUCCCCCACAUUGGAACUGAGACACGGUCCAAACUCCUACGGGAGGCAGCAGUGAGGAAUAUUGGUCAAUGGACGAGAGUCUGAACCAGCCAAGUAGCGUGAAAGGAUGACUGCCCUAUGGGUUGUAAACUUCUUUUAUAUGGGAAUAAAGUGAGCCACGUGUGGCUUUUUGUAUGUACCAUACGAAUAAGGAUCGGCUAACUCCGUGCCAGCCGCCGC